AUGCCAUCUCCUCAAACAGGUAUUGGUGGCUUCUCGCCUUUGCAUUCAUGGGGGACUGCAAGAGGGCCUGGCCGCGGGGUGCUGCGGCUUCUCGGGUGGGGGUGGGGGUGGGGGGCGCUGAGAGGCGGCCUGCCGGGAGCCGCGGGGGGGGGGGCCGGGUGCCGGGUGCCCCCGGCGGUACCGUCGGGCAGCAGUGGCCAGGAGUCCCAUCCCGGCCGGGCAGGAAGCUGCGGGGGAAAGGCAGGGCCUUCCGCGGCGGGCAGUGGGCCCCGCUGUCUGCGCCCGGGGCGCCGGCGGCCGUUUCGGGGGCGACACUGCGCGGCCCCGCCUGCGCCAGCCCGACGCCGCGGGCGGGCCGCUGCUCACGCCGCCAGGUCUCAUCCGCCCGGGGACUCACCGUCCCUCGGGGGCGGGCGGGGGCAAAGGAGCCGCCCUAGAGCGGCCGCUGGGCCUCCCGGCUGGCCCCUCCCCUUCGUUCACCCCGGCUCGCCGAAUCUAGCGUCCCGCGGCCGCGGCUCUCACUUGUUUCAGAGGCCGCUUUGUCUCCGCGGGUGUGGGGCUCCGCGCGGCCCCGGGGCGCCCGAGCCUUUGUCGAGUUCGCAGGCCGGGGCGGGCGCUGGGGGCGGGCGCACGCACACAGGCGCACACGCACUGGAGGGCACGCACGCCCCCCCCCCCGGCGCAUGCGCGCGCCCGCCGCGCCGCCCGAAGCCCCGCCCCACCCGGCGGCGGCGCCCCGCAGUGCCCCGGUCCGCGCGCCUCCUGGCCGCCGCCCCGCAGACCUCCCCGCGCGGGGCUCGGGCCCCGGGCGCCGCCCGUUGUUGGCUUAGAGCCCAAGUCGCGUUUCCCGCUGCCCCUUCUCCCGGCUUCUCUCUUCCGUGCUGGCCGCCUGCGGUGUCUCUAUUCUUCCUGGGCCCUGCCUGGCACAAGAGGUAUUGCUUAAGAAGGAGGCUCAUUGAAUGGAUGUUCAGACUUAGCUGUGGCCUGGGCCCUGGAAACAAAUCUGUUCAUCAUAAGGGAGAUUUGAGGAAGGAGCUAAUCAACAUGAUGCUCAUCAUCUAUAAGGAUACUGGAAGAUUCCUCUGA
rnacentral:lncRNA from 12 species